rnacentral:lncRNA from 1 species
UUUUUUUAUGUUUAUGUGUGUGUUAUUUGUCUACAAAUCGUGUGGUAACCAGAAGAGGGUGUCAGAUUCCUUAGAGCCAGAGUUAUAGACAGUUAUGAGCCUCCAUGAGGGAGAUGGGAAACUCAUACCUGGUCCUCUGGAAGAAUAGCCCGUGUUUUAAACAGAAUCACCUCUCAGAGCCCUUUGUGUGAAACUAGUCAGCAGUUCUAUUCCUGAAAUAAGGAAAACCCAGUUCCUUCCCUGCAGGCACAUUGGGCUAAAAUACAAGGAAAAGCUGGUGGCACCGACGGUGAAUGGUGGCACACAUCUUUAGUCUCAGCACUCGGGAGACAGAGGCAGGUGGAUCUCUGAGCUCAAGGCCAGCCUGGUCUACAGAGUGAGUUCUAGAACAGCCAGGGCUACACAGAGAAACCCUGUCUUGAAAACAAAGAAACAAACAAAAUGAAAUAGAGGGAGAGAACACACACAGACUUAUUUUGUAAAUGUCUUGGCCUUUGUACAGCUGCAAACACCUGGCAGGUUGGUCAGAUUUCUAGGCUAGGAUCUAAAGAAAUCAUUGUAUACAGCAUGAAGACCUUUUCUCUGGGGCCAAGCAACCACUUUCUUGGGUAUUCCAAAAACUGCCAGUUUCUCCACAAACCCAACAAUGGAGAGAGUAUGUGAGGUGGAAGGGGAGGGUGGAUGUAGCAGUGAUUCCACUUUGUACUAUUGUUUUUAAAGGAGUCUGGCUGUAUGGAGCUCUUGCAGAUGCCUUUAUUGGCAGCUUCAACCCGUUGCUUCUGAGUUGCCAUGGCAACUGGAAGCCAAACCCGGGAAGGAGGGGCGACGGGGACUGUUUAUUGGAACUGGAGGAGUCGGCGCGAUCCUCUGAAAGCCAGGAAAUAGCGGGAGCCGCCUGUACCUGGAUAAAACCCACCCGGGAGGUGAGUGAGGUUUGCGUUUGAGCUGAAUUCCUGGGGACACUGCCAUAUGGCUUUUACCGACUGCCAUCCUCCACGCGGUAUGUACACCCCUCUUGGGCAGCAGCUAAAACCUGCAGAAGAUUGCGCUCUCGCUGGUACCUUAAAUCCCUGCCCCCACGAUCUGCUUGAACUCUUCACUGAGGUCUCCAAUCUACCUUUCCAGCCCGAAUUCCGGCCCCAAAGCUAGGGUUCUCCUUCCCUUUUCCCAAGCCACUUUCCCACUUCCCUGCUUUUUCCUCCCUAGAGUAGGAGGCUCCAGGGGACCACAGCUGACUCCUCCAGGCACAGAGGAUUGAGUCAUCCUGCAGGCGUCAGAGCGGGUAGGAACAGCUCCGCUGAUCUGUAUGCAGCUCCGACUCCCUCUCCAGUUCAGAGUUUGGGAGCCGUCUUGUUCGAAAGUAAAGAACAGAACACAGAUGGCUGGUAACAGGAUCCCACAGGGGCCUCCUUUCCCACUGAGUUCAUCCUGCUAAUCCUUUUACAGAAGAGAAAAUAAGUGGUAAAUGGAAAAAGGGAAAAAAGACUAUAGCUUCUACAGAGUCUACAAGCUCUGUUUUGUGGGUCCCGGUAGGAGGUCUCUGAGGGAGAUUCUCGCUGUAUGUUAAAUUUCCUAGCCCGAUCCCUUUCCUGGUCCCUUCUCCUUGACCACUUCUUCCCCUUCAUUCCCCCUAUUUUCCAUGCCAGUUCUUUGUGGUUUUGUAUCUGAUGGCGCAUCUUGUCAUAGAUGCCUGAAUGCCUUCUGUAUUAACCAGGCACGUUUUUAUUCAUUUACUUCUUUUUAUUAUCAUAAAAAGUUUUUUAUAUAGCUAGUCGGUGGUUGUGCUCGCUUUUAAUCCCAGCACCUGGUAGGCGGAGGCAGACGAAUCUCUGUGAGUUCGAGGCCAGACUGGUCUAGAGAGUGAGAUUUCAGGACAGGCUCCAAAGUUACAUAGAGAAACCUGUUUUGGGAGGUGGAGAGGGGGGGGUCAUAUGUGUGUACCAG